ACCUGGUUGGCUCAGUCGGUUAAGCAUCUGACUUAGGCUCAGGUCAUGAUCUCACCGUGGGUUCGUGAGUUGGAGUCCCUCAUCGAGUG
rnacentral:tRNA from 1 species